UCCAAUGAUGGUCUAAAUCUUUGAGAACUGAAAAUUUGUCUUUCAUUGAUGACAAAUUACAAGCAUUAUUUUCUGAGGCC